rnacentral:rRNA from 1 species
GACGAACGCUGGCGGCGUGCUUAACACAUGCAAGUCGAACGCAUCCUUCGGGAUGAGUGGCGCACGGGUGAGUAACGCGUGGGAACGCACCUGGCAGUGCGGAAUAACCAUUGGAAACGAUGGCUAAUACCGCAUACGCCCUUCGGGGGAAAGAUUUAUCGCUUCCAGAUCGGCCCGCGUCCGAUUAGCUAGUUGGUGAGGUAACGGCUCACCAAGGCGACGAUCGGUAGCUGGUUUGAGAGGAUGACCAGCCACACUGGGACUGAGACACGGCCCAGACUCCUACGGGAGGCAGCAGUGGGGAAUAUUGCGCAAUGGGGGCAACCCUGACGCAGCCAUGCCGCGUGAGUGAAGAAGGCCUUCGGGUUGUAAAGCUCUUUCGGAUGUGACGGUGAUGACGGUAACAUCAGAAGAAGCCCCGGCUAACUUCGUGCCAGCCGCCGCCGUAA